AGAGUUCAGGGGCCCACUUAGAUGAUACCAGAGAGCAAGAGAGAGGAACUGGGGUUUGCGAACCUUGUGGCUUUGUCUGUUUCCUGUUUCAGCAAGGCUGCUGUGCAAAAAGAAAGACGGUACCAAGAAGGGACGUGCUAAUGGGGCCCAGACCUAUGGAUUGAAAGCGUGUGCUUUACCCAUCUGCUGUCUUGCUCCAUCUGAGACCAGAGCCAAGAUCUGCCCAGGACUGGAAUGCUUUCCCGAGUGGCUUGAGUUGGAGCCUGGGACUCGGAGCAGCCUUAUUGAGGUACAAUUCAUGUGCCUGUGGAUUUGGAUGGCACAAUCUGUGUCUGGGCUAAGGAAAGCAGACUUGGCACCAGUAUUAGCCCUGACAGAUCCAGGCAUCUAUUCCAAGAACUGGAAGCCAAGCGCAACAGGUGCUUGGAGGUCAUCAUGAUCAGCCCAGACCCCAGGCCCUCCCCUGGCUUGGCCCGGUGGGCUGAGAGCUAUGAGGCCAAGUGUGAGCGCAGGCAAGAGAUCCGUGAAAGCCGCCGCUGCCGUCCCAAUGUGACCACUUGCCGCCAGGUGGGGAAGACGCUGAGGAUUCAGCAGAGAGAGCAGCUCCAGAGAGCUCGACUGCAGCAGUUCUUCAGGAGGAGGAACCUGGAGCUAGAGGAGAAGGGCAAAGCGCAGCGUCCCCAGGCCAGGAAUCAAGGGCCCUCCAGGCGGCCAGGACAGGUGACUGUCCUCAGGGAACCCUUGUCUUGUGCCAGCAGGAUUUCUUCUCCCAGAGAGCAGGUGACAGGCACCAGCUCUGAAGUCUUUCCAGCCCAGCAUCCUCCUCCCUCAGACAUCUGCAGGGAUCUGUCUGACCACCUCUCCUCACAGGCUGGGGGCCUUCCUCCACAGGACACUCCCAUCAAGAAGCCACCCAAACACCACCGUGGUACUCAGACAAAGGCAGAAGGACCAACAAUUAAGAACGAUGCCAGUCAGCAAACCAAUUAUGGAGUUGCAGUUCUGGAUAAGGAAAUCAUCCAGCUUUCUGAUUACCUCAAAGAGGCCCUACAAAGGGAGCUGGUCCUAAAACAGAAAAUGGUGAUUCUCCAAGACCUACUGUCCACUCUGAUUCAGGCCUCUGACAGCUCUUGGAAGGGACAGCUUAAUGAAGACAAACUGAAAGGGAAACUGAGAUCCUUAGAAAACCAGCUGUACACCUGUACCCAGAAAUACUCCCCUUGGGGAAUGAAAAAAGUACUACUGGAGAUGGAAGACCAGAAAAACAGCUAUGAGCAGAAGGCCAAGGAGUCACUGCAGAAAGUGCUGGAGGAGAAAAUGAAUGCAGAGCAGCAACUACAGAGCACACAGCGAUCCCUGGCCCAGGCAGAGCAGAAGUGUGAAGAGUGGAGGAGCCAGUAUGAGGCUCUGAAGGAGGACUGGAGGACCCUUGGGACCCAGCACAGGGAGCUGGAGAGCCAACUCCACGUGCUUCAGUCCAAACUGCAGGUACCAGGCACUGGGGGUGGGGAGGGAAGACAGGCUAUGGGGAGGAGGGAUGGUGAUGAAAGAAGCUGUUCUGGAUUAGGGACUCCAAAGGCAGCUGACAGCAUCUGGCUUUCAGUUCCUCAGUCACCACUACUUUGUACCAAAUUCACUGUUUUGGCUCUGAAAUCUAAUUUUGAGUUUAGCAAGGAUGUCUGCAUUGCUCAUGCAAAUGAACUAAGCGUUCAUUGGAAUGACACCAUCACCACCCAAAUGAAAAGAACUGGCUGGAAUAUUCAUCAGCCUACUAAUGUCAUCUCCCAACCCACUCUCCAAACUCCAUCCCAAAAAAGCAUCCAGUUCAGAAUUGCCCACUGUUGGCACAGAAAGAAUGUCACUAAUUUAUUUACAGGGAGCAGAUAGCAGGGACUUACAGAUGAACCAGGCCCUGCGAUUUUUGGAAAAUGAGCACCAGGAACUGCAGGCCAAGAUUGAAUGCCUGCAAGGGGACAGAGACCUGUGCAGCUUGUAUACCCAGGACCUACAAGAUCAACUAAAAAGGUCAGAGGCAGAGAAACUCACCCUGGUGACCAGAGUACAGCAGUUGCAGGGUUUGCUUCAGAAUCAAUCCUUACAGCUUCAAGAACAGGAGAAACUCUUAACAAAGAAAGAUCAGGCUUUGCCUGUGUGGAGUCCAAAGUCCUUCCCUAACGAAGUGGAGCCUGAGGGUACAGGGAAGGAGAAAGACUGGGAUCUCAGAGACCAGCUGCAAAAGAAGACUUUGCAGCUCCAGGCCAAGGAAAAGGAGUGCAGAGAACUGCAUUCAGAAUUAGACAACCUCAGUGACGAGUAUCUCUCCUGCCUGCGUAAGCUGCAGCACUGUCGAGAAGAGCUGAACCAGAGCCAGCAGCUGCCUCCCAGAAGGCAAUGUGGGCGAUGGCUCCCAGUGCUGAUGGUGGUGAUUGCUGCAGCACUGGCAGUGUUCCUGGCCAAUAAAGACAACCUGAUGAUCUGAAUAAUUUGUGACAACUGCCUUGGGUGAAAAUCAGAAGCAAGCAACUCAGCGAAAAACUCAGAAGGUUUGGGUACAUUACAGCUUGGGUUUUCCAACUGACUUAGGAUUUCUGACUUUUUAUUAUUUUCUUAACCUACUGUAAAUAAACUUCACCUGACCAGA